rnacentral:tRNA from 1 species
GUCCGGGUGGCGGAAUUGGCAGACGCGUUAGGUUGAGGGCCUAAUGGGGUAACUCCCGUGCGGGUUCAAAUCCCGCCCCGGAUACCA